AUGGUGGAGGGGCGUUGGCGGGGCGGUGGUGUGGGGAUCGCCGAAGAAAAAGCUUGGCACGGGGGGGCCUAG
rnacentral:rRNA from 1 species